rnacentral:rRNA from 1 species
UACGUAGGGUGCGAGCGUUAAUCGGAAUUACUGGGCGUAAAGCGUGCGCAGGCGGUUCGUUGUGUCUGCUGUGAAAUCCCCGGGCUCAACCUGGGAAUGGCAGUGGAAACUGGCGAGCUUGAGGGUGGCAGAGGGGGGUGGAAUUCCGCGUGUAGCAGUGAAAUGCGUAGAGAUGCGGAGGAACACCGAUGGCGAAGGCAACCCCCUGGGCUGACACUGACGCUCAGGCACGAAAGCGUGGGGAGCAAACAGG